UACAGAGGGUGCAAGCGUUGCUCGGAAUUAUUGGGCGUAAAGGGCAGGUAGGUGGUCUCAUUUGUCAGAGGUGAAAGCCUUGGGCUUAACCCAAGAAGUGCCUCUGAAACGGUGAGACUAGAGUGCUAGAGAGGAUCGCGGAAUACCCGGUGUAGCGGUGAAAUGCGUAGAGAUCGGGUGGAACAUCAGAGGCGAAGGCGGCGAUCUGGAUAGAUACUGACACUCAACUGCGAAAGCGUGGGUAGCAAACAGG
rnacentral:rRNA from 1 species